UGCAGAGCAGGACAGUGCAGCAGCGCAGCAGUACAGCAGGCAGGGCUGCCCCACCGGGCUCCGAGCAGACCUGUGGGCCCUCAUCCUCAACUCCACAAACCAGCCACAGGACGUGAUGCAUUAUGAACAGCUAACGGCUGGAGUCAUACAACAUGACCUGCUGGUGGACAACCUCAUCUAUAAGGAUGUGAAGCUCACUGCCAGUAAUGAUGACUACUACUUUGUGUUUGAAGAUUUCCUCUAUCAGGUAGGGUUCGCUCUCUGACAGUUCAGCUUUCCAUCUCUUUACCUUCCCUACCAGUACUCUUGUAUAAAGGGAAACCUGGACCCUAUUUUCCCUGUUUUUGUCUAAAGUUCUUAAGCAAGCUGCAAUUUAA